rnacentral:ncRNA from 16 species
CUUGGCCUAAUGGACAAGGCGUCGGACUUCCAAUCCGAAGAUUGCGGGUUCGAGUCCCGCA